GACGAACGCUGGCGGCGUGCUUAACACAUGCAAGUCGAACGAAGAGCGAUGGAAGCUUGCUUCUAUCAAUCUUAGUGGCGAACGGGUGAGUAACGCGUAAUCAACCUGCCCUUCAGAGGGGGACAACAGUUGGAAACGACUGCUAAUACCGCAUACGAUCCAAUCUCGGCAUCGAGGAUGGAUGAAAGGUGGCCUCUAUUUAUAAGCUAUCACUGAAGGAGGGGAUUGCGUCUGAUUAGCUAGUUGGAGGGGUAACGGCCCACCAAGGCGAUGAUCAGUAGCCGGUCUGAGAGGAUGAACGGCCACAUUGGGACUGAGACACGGCCCAGACUCCUACGGGAGGCAGCAGUGGGGAAUCUUCCGCAAUGGACGAAAGUCUGACGGAGCAACGCCGCGUGAGUGAUGACGGCCUUCGGGUUGUAAAGCUCUGUUAAUCGGGACGAAAGGCCUUCUUGCGAAUAGUUAGAAGGAUUGACGGUACCGGAAUAGAAAGCCACGGCUAACUACGUGCCAGCAGCCGCGGUAAUACGUAGGUGGCAAGCGUUGUCCGGAAUUAUUGGGCGUAAAGCGCGCGCAGGCGGAUCGGUCAGUCUGUCUUAAAAGUUCGGGGCUUAACCCCGUGAUGGGAUGGAAACUGCCAAUCUAGAGUAUCGGAGAGGAAAGUGGAAUUCCUAGUGUAGCGGUGAAAUGCGUAGAUAUUGGGAAGAACACCAGUGGCGAAGGCGACUUUCUGGACGAAAACUGACGCUGAGGCGCGAAAGCCAGGGGAGCGAACGGGAUUAGAUACCCCGGUAGUCCUAGCCGUA
rnacentral:rRNA from 1 species